AUGGAGAAGUUAAUUUUAGACAUACCUUGCAUGCCAGAAUUGGAGCAAUCAAAAUGUUCUACUUCAGAUUUAAGUGCUGUCACAGGGGGGCUCUUGUGUUCAGACAGCAAGGGUGAGAACACUCUAAAUGAUCCAAUAUACAACAAAUCUAAAGGGAGAAUGAAGAAAACAGGGUGGCAGAAAAGUAUAGUAGAAGAAAUCAUAUCAAGGCCUAAAGUCACUUGUUCGGGGUGCAACAAACAAGGACAGAACAUUACAGGGUGCAAGCAAAUAGAACAAGAAUCGCCAGCAAAACCUAAAAAAUCAGCCAGCAGAAAGAAUGCAAAGCAAAGUAGAGAGAAGACAGCAAAACAAAAAUAG
rnacentral:rRNA from 1 species